AAACGAAACAUGGCUGAGAGAAAACAG
rnacentral:sRNA from 1 species